rnacentral:rRNA from 1 species
ACGGGGUGCAGCAGGCGCGAAACCUCCGCAAUGCACGCAAGUGUGACGGGGGGAUCCCAAGUGCUCUUGAUUUUUUCAAGAGCUUUUUCUAAGUGUAAAUAGCUUGGCGAAUAAGAGCUGGGUAAGACGGGUGCCAGCAGCAGCGGUAAUACCCGCGGCUCGAGUUGUCUGGGUUUUUAUUGGGUCUAAAGCGUCCGUAGCCGGGCUAAUAAGUUCCUUGUGAAAUCUAACAGCCUAACUGUUAGGCGUGCAGGGGAUACUAUUAGCCUUGAGACCGGGAUGGGCCAAAGGUACUCUUGGGGUAGGGGUGAAAUCCAAUAAUCCUGAGGGGACCACCUGUGGCGCAACCUUUUUGCUAAGUUCAGCGAAGGGGUUCCACACAAGACGUUUGGCUAAAACGGGUCUGACGGUGAGGGACGAAAGCCAGGGGAGCGAACGGGAUUAGAUACCCCGGUAGUCCUGGCCGUAAAUCAUGCAGACUAGGUGUUACGUACCCUUCUUGGGUAUGUGGUGCCGUAGGGAAGCCGUUAAGUCUGCCACCUGGAAGUACGAUCG